rnacentral:rRNA from 1 species
CUCAGAAUGAACGCUGGCGGCGUGCUUACACAUGCAAGUCGCACGAGAACACCUCAGCUUGCUGGGGUAAGUAAAGUGGCGCACGGGUGAGUAACGCGUGGGUAAUCUGCCCUCGAAUCUGGGAUAACCCGCGAAAGCGGGGCUAAUACCGGAUGAAAUCCAGUUAGCUUUGGCUAUAUGGAUCAAAGGUGGCCUCUGCAUGCAAGCUACUGUUUGGGGAUGAGCCCGCGUACCAUUAGCUUGUUGGUGGGGUAAAGGCCCACCAAGGCGACGAUGGUUAGCUGGUCUGAGAGGAUGAUCAGCCACACUGGAACUGGAACACGGUCCAGACUCCUACGGGAGGCAGCAGUGAGGAAUUUUGCGCAAUGGGGGUAACCCUGACGCAGCAACGCCGCGUGAGUGAUGAAGGCCUUCGGGUCGUAAAGCUCUGUCAAGUGGGAAGAACCCAUUCCGGCACAACAAGCCGGGGUGCUGACGGUACCACUGAAGGAAGCACCGGCUAACUCCGUGCCAGCAGCCGCGGUAAUACGGAGGGUGCGAGCGUUAUUCGGAAUUACUGGGCGUAAAGGGCGCGUAGGCGGCCGAUUAAGUCAGAUGUGAAAUCCCGGGGCUUACCCCCGGAAGUGCAUUUGAUACUGAACGGCUUGAGUAUGGGAGAGGGAAGUGGAAUUCCUGGUGUAGCGGUGAAAUGCGUAGAUAUCAGGAGGAACACCGGUGGCGAAGGCGACUUCCUGGACCAAUACUGACGCUGAGGCGCGAAGGCGUGGGGAGCAAACAGGAUUAGAUACCCUGGUAGUCCACGCAGUAAACGGUGAUCACUAGGUGUAGCGGGUAUUGACCCCU